rnacentral:rRNA from 1 species
CACGCCCUAAACGAUGGAUACUCGACAUCAGCGAUACACUGUUGGUGUCUGAGCGAAAGCAUUAAGUAUCCCACCUGGGAAGUACNUACGCGAGGAACCUUACCUGGGCUAGAAUGCUGGGAGACCGUGGGUGAAAGCUCAUUUUGUAGCAAUACACUGCCAGUAAGGUGC